CACGGGGGGAGCAAGCGUUGUUCGGAUUCAUUGGGCGUAAAGGGCUCGUAGGUGGCUUUGUAAGUCGGAGGUGAAAUCCCACGGCUCAACCUGGACACGCCUUCGAAACUGUGAAGCUUAGGCUGGGAGAGGAGAUCGGAAUUCCUGGUGUAGCGGUGAAAUGCGCAGAUAUCGGGAAGAACACCCGUGGCGAAGGCGGUUCUCUGGGACGGUACUGACGCUGAGACGCGAAAGCGUGGGAGCGAACAGG
rnacentral:rRNA from 1 species